rnacentral:rRNA from 1 species
AAAGAUUAAGCCAUGCAUGUCUAAGUAUAAGCAAUUAUACCGUGAAACUGCGAAUGGCUCAUUAAAUCAGUUAUCGUUUAUUUGAUAGUACCUUACUACUUGGAUAACCGUGGUAAUUCUAGAGCUAAUACAUGCUGAAAACCCCAACUUCGGAAGGGGUGUAUUUAUUAGAUAAAAAACCAACGCCCUUCGGGGCUUCUUGGUGAUUCAUGAUAACUUUACGGAUCGCAUGGCCUUGCGCCGGCGACGGUUCAUUCAAAUUUCUGCCCUAUCAACUUUCGAUGGUAAGGUAUUGGCUUACCAUGGUCUCAACGGGUAACGGGGAAU